GAUGAACGCUGGCGGCGUGCCUAAUACAUGCAAGUCGAACGGACGGACGCGAAGCUUGCUGCGCUCACGUUAGGGGCAGACGGGAGAGUAACACGUGGAUAACCUACCUAUAAGACUGGGAAAACUACGGGACACCGGAGAUAAUACCGGAUAAUAUUUUGCACCGCGUUGGGCGAAGGUGAAAGACGGUGGUUCGGGCACUUAUCGCUGCAUCCGCGCUGCAUUGGCUAGUUGGUAAGGUAACGGCUUACCAAGGCUAGGAUGCGUAGCCGAGCUGAGAGGGUGAUCGGCCACACUGGAACUGAGACACGGUCCAGACGCCUACGGGAGGCAGCAGUAGGGAAUCGUCCGCAAUGGGCGAAAGCCUGACGGAGCAACGCCGCGUGAGUGAUGAAGGUCUUCGGAUCGUAAAACUCUGUUAUUAGGGAAGAACAUAUGUGUAAGUAACUGUGCACAUCUUGACGGUACCUAAUCAGAAAGCCACGGCUAACUACGUG
rnacentral:rRNA from 1 species